UUGACGGGGACCCGCACAAGCGGUGAUGAUGUGUUUAAUUCGAUGCAACGCGAAAAACCUUACCCACCUUUGACAUGGCAGGAAUCCUGAAGAGAUUUGGGAGUGCUCGAAAGAGAACCUGCACACAGGUGCUGCAUGGCUGUCGUCAGCUCGUGUCGUGAGAUGUUGGGUUAAGUCCCGCAACGAGCGCAACCCUUGCCAUUAGUUGCUACGAAAGGGCACUCUAAUGGGACUGCCGGUGACAAACCGGAGGAAGGUGGGGAUGACGUCAAGUCCUCAUGGCCCUUAUAGGUGGGGCUACACACGUCAUACAAUGGCCGGUACAGAGGGUAGCCAACCCGCGAGGGGAGCCAAUCCCACAAAGCCGGUCGUAGUCCGGAUCGCAGUCUGCAACUCGACUGCGUGAAGUCGGAAUCGCUAGUAAUCGCGGAUCAGCAUGUCGCGGUGAAUACGUUCCCGGGCCUU
rnacentral:rRNA from 1 species